rnacentral:lncRNA from 1 species
CAAAUUUCAAAACCAAAAUUUUUUUAUGAAAGCAGCGUAACCUGAUUCUAAAUAUUUUUGGUGACUUGGAAUCAUUAUUGUUCGAAUUUUAGGAAGAUACGGUGAUAAAUAUCUUAAGUGGUCCAAUGAGGAGUUUGCUAAAAUUUUUUGGAAUUUUUUUGAAAAAAUUUUGAAUUUUCCAGCGAGAAACUUAGUUUUGAUGUCAUUUUCCGGUGAAAGUUAGAAUUUUUUUUAGCUUUCUAGUAGGAUUCCCUGUAUCCGACGUCUUUUGGCAUCGUUUUCCAGUGAGUUCUCAGAUCUUGUUCAAUUUCCUAAUCAUCCGUUAAAGUUCUCGGCAACAUCCCAAUGAGCCCUUAAGGUUUCCGAUGGUGCUGCCCAAAAUCCGAUUGGCAUUUAAAGGAUUCUAAAAAGAGAGAAUCAGAAGAGCAGAGAGAGAGAGGGAGAGAGAGAGAGAGAGAGAGAGAGAGAAAGAGACAGACAGACAGACGAAGAGAAAAGAAAUUUGGUGGGAAAAUAAAAUUGGUCCUUCUUAUAGCUGUCCAAAACGAUGUCAUUUUGAUAUUAAUAGACUUAGGGAAGAUCCGACCCUUGACUCGACAGCCCGUGUGUGAGGCCUUGGCAAUUGAGCCGAAGUCGAGCCGUACUACAUUGAAGCUGAGCCAACAUCUGUGCCUUGAGCUGAGCUAAGCCACAUUCCUCUUGAGCUAGAUUAUCUCCUUUUUUUUGUUUUAUUUUUAUUUUUUUUGUGUUUUACCAUAUUAUUUCAUUUUAUUUAUUUAUUUAAAGUAAUUAUUUUUUAAAAAAUAUAAGAUUUUUCAAAUUAAACUCAUAAUUUUACCAAAUUAUUGAAGAAUUUUCAUAGAUUUAAAAUUUUUUAUGAAUUCUACAAAAUUGUUAUAGAUUUUUUUAAAGAAAAUUUAAUAAAAAUAUAUAAUUUUUAAAAUUUAUGCUAUCAAACUAUUGAAAUAUUUUACUUGAAAUAAAAUUUUAUCAAAUUAUUAAAAAAUUUUAUGAAUUAAAAAUAAAUUUAUUUUAAUCCUACCAAACUAAUGGAGAAAAUAUUUUGAAGUUAAAUCUUAUUAAACUAUAGGAAAGUUUAAUGAUCUUUAAAAAAUUUAUAAAAUAUUUUUAAUCUUAUCAAAUUAUU